rnacentral:rRNA from 1 species
CAUGUCCUUUUGAUGAUGAUUUAAGGUCUGAUCUGCUCAAUGAAAUUUAAAUAGCCGCAGUAUUUUGACUGUGCAAAGGUAGCAUAAUAAUUAGUUUCUUAAUUAGGAACUGGUAUGAAUGAUUGGACAAGAGAAUAGCUGUCUCUUUUUUAAUUUUGUUGAAUUUUAUUUUUAAGUGAAAAAGCUUAAAUUUGUAUAAAAGACGAGAAGACCCUAUAGAGUUUAAUAUUUUUAAUUAAAUUGGUAUUAGAAUUUUAUUUUGGUUAGAUUUAUUUGGUUGGGGUGAUUUAAAGAUUAACAAAAUUCUUUAAUAAUUUAAUUAGUGAUGUCUAAAUUUUAAAUCUAUAUUUUAUAAAUAUAAAAUAAAUUACCUUAGGGAUAACAGCGUAAUUUUUCUUUAAAGUUCUUAUUAAAAGAAAAGUUUGCGACCUCGAUGUUGGAUUAAAAUUAAUUUUUGGUGCAGUAACUUAAAAAUUGGGUCUGUUCGACCUUUAAAAUUUUACAUGAUCUGAGUUUAAACCGGUGUAAACCAGGUUGGAUUCUAUCUUUAGAAAGUUAAUAUAUUUUAGUACGAAAGGACCAAAUAUAUAUUAUAUUAAUU